CAAGUUCCUGUAUAUGCUGUCACUUUUCAAGAACCUGAGAAUGAUCCUCGGAAUUGCUGUUACUUGUGGGCUGUUCAGUCUACACAAGAUAGGGGUUAGAAUACUGUGAAGAAAGAUACACCCUGGACCUGACAGGUGGCAUGUUCCCUUUGAGGGGACAGACGAGUAAUACCAAAUUGUUGGGAUGCCAGAGUAUAGAGAAAUUUCGAUCUCAUGGUGACAGGGAGGAAGGUGUGAAUGAAGCUCUAUCGCCUGACACUAGUGUUUCAGUCUUUACCUGGCAGGUGAAUAUAUAUGGACAGGGAAAGCCUUCUGUAUAUUUGGGGCUUUUUGAUAUAAAUCGUUGGUAUCAUGCACAAAUGCCAGAUUCGUUAAGGUCAGGAGAAUAUCUCCAUAAUUGCUCUUAUUUUGCACUGUGGUCCUUGGAGUCUGUUGUAAGUAGGACUUCUCCACAUGGCAUCUUGGAUAUAUUAGUCCAUGAGCGAAGCUUAAAUAGAGGAGUCCCUCCUUCAUAUCCACCUCCCGAGCAGUUUUUUAAUCCAAGCACUUAUAAUUUUG
rnacentral:lncRNA from 1 species